GUAGGGUGCGAGCGUUAAUCGGAAUUACUGGGCGUAAAGCGUGCGCAGGCGGUUUCGUAAGACAGACGUGAAAUCCCCGGGCUCAACCUGGGAACUGCGUUUGUGACUGCGAGGCUAGAGUAUGGCAGAGGGGGGUGGAAUUCCACGUGUAGCAGUGAAAUGCGUAGAGAUGUGGAGGAACACCGAUGGCGAAGGCAGCCCCCUGGGCCAAUACUGACGCUCAUGCACGAAAGCGUGGGGAGCAAAC
rnacentral:rRNA from 1 species